rnacentral:lncRNA from 1 species
AGGUCAAAAUUCCCUCUGUUGGAGUAGCCUUCCGAUUAUGUAGAUUUCUUUAUUGCUUCCUGAGUUGUGAAACAUAAACCCAAGCAUUGACUUACUGGAAUUUGACUGCUGUGUUGAUAAAAUUUCUGAUAUGGUUUCUUCCAAUGAUUUAAGAAUAGCUUUCCCCUUUCUUUACUCCAGGAAAUGAAUUUUCACAAGGUCUCAGGACACCAUUUUUCAAGUGCUUUAGUUAAAGAGACUGACUUCUUGGUGGGCAGGCCUCUUCUAACAAUGAGCUCACUUCUGCAAAGCAUUCAGUCUGUGGCUUUAUUGCCAUGAAUCAUGAAGCUUUCACACUCCGAUGCACUAAAAAUAAUGCCUCUUCAAUUAAAUAUCUAUUGGCAUUGCCAUGAAUUGGCCACUCUUGGAUAUGUGUCCUAUGUUAUGAGCCCAACAUGUCAGUGGACUGAGAAUCCUCUAUUAGCUACCUCUGUGUGUAGCACUGAGCAGACUAACAAUCCUCAGAGUCAUCUAACAAGGAGAGUCCUGAGGUUCAUGGGAUUCUUGGAGACAUUCAGGCUUUGAGCUAUGAAAUCGUCUGUCUCAUGAAUAUGCAAAUAACCUGAGAUGCACUGAGGUAAAUAUGGAUGUGUCUGUGCCCUAAGCACAUCAUCCAACAACCACAUGCCUCUUCUGCAGAAUCUCCUUAGAGCUCAGUGCCUCACCGUGGACUGGACCUGGAGGAACAUCUUGGUGGCAGCAGCUACAGGUGCGCACUCUCAGGACCAGUUGGUGCAGUCUGGGGCUGAGGUGAAGAAGCCUCUGUCCUCAGUGAAGGUCUCCUUCAAGGCUUCUGGAUACACCUUCACCAACAACUUUAUGCACUGGGUGUGACAGGCCCCUGGACAAGGACUUGAGUGGAUGGGAUGGAUCAAUGCUGGCAAUGGUAACACAACAUAUGCACAGAAGUUCCAGGGCAGAGUCACCAUAACCAGGGACACGUCCAUGAGCACAGCCUACACGGAGCUGAGCAGCCUGAGAUCUGAGGACAUGGCCGUGUAUUACUGUGCGAGAGACACAGAGUGAAAACCCACAUCCUGAGAGUGUCAGAAACCCCAGGGAGGAGGCAGCUGUGCUGGCAUGGAGGAGAUGACAAAGAUUAUUAGAUUGAAGACUUUCUCAGAAAAUAACAUUAAGUCACUAAAGAAAAGGAACAAUAUAAAUGUGUAUUUGAGAAAUUUUAAUUAUUUGAAAGAUUUUUCAUACAACAUUUAUUCUGUAAGCAAAUUUCAGGGAUUGAAUUAAUAAAACUGAUACAGAA